rnacentral:rRNA from 1 species
AUCAGCUUGUUGGUGAGGUAAUGGCUCACCAAGGCGACGACGGGUAGCCGGCCUGAGAGGGCGACCGGCCACUCUGGGACUGAGACACGGCCCAGACUCCUACGGGAGGCAGCAGUGGGGAAUAUUGCACAAUGGGCGAAAGCCUGAUGCAGCGACGCCGCGUGAGGGAUGACGGCCUUCGGGUUGUAAACCUCUUUCAGCAGGGAAGAAG